rnacentral:rRNA from 1 species
UGGGGAAUAUUGCACAAUGGGCGCAAGCCUGAUGCAGCCAUGCCGCGUGUAUGAAGAAGGCCUUCGGGUUGUAAAGUACUUUCAGUCGGGAGGAAGGUGUCAAGGUUAAUAACCUUGGCAAUUGACGUUACCGACAGAAGAAGCACCGGCUAACUCCGUGCCAGCAGCCGCGGUAAUACGGAGGGUGCAAGCGUUAAUCGGAAUUACUGGGCGUAAAGCGCACGCAGGCGGUUGAUUGAGUCAGAUGUGAAAUCCCCGGGCUUAACCCGGGAAUUGCAUCUGAUACUGGGCAGCUAGAGUCUUGUAGAGGGGGGUAGAAUUCCAUGUGUAGCGGUGAAAUGCGUAGAGAUGUGGAGGAAUACCGGUGGCGAAGGCGGCCCCCUGGACAAAGACUGACGCUCAGGUGCGAAAGCGUGGGGAGCAAACAGG